ensembl:lncRNA uncharacterized LOC107548902
GUAAAAAAAUAUAUUUAAAUAUACUUUUAUUCAGAAAACAAGUUACAUUCUUUUAAAUAAACAAGUUUUAGUAUUUUACACAUUUUGCUUUGGAAGCAAACUUAUCUUGCCUUACAGUAAAAUGACAAAAAUAUUUUGCAGUCUGGUAUUUGUUGACAUGUUGACAUGAUUCACAUCAAAAUUGGUCUAAAAGAAGUGACAAGUGUUUACAACUCCAAUAUUAUUUCUGAGUCACUUGAUCUUCGACUUGGCCACUGCGUCAGUGCAGAGGGCAGGUUUUGAGAGGACAGUCAUAAACUGUAUUAUGGCCGAUCCCAUUCUCAAAAGAUGAGAAACCCAUUAUAUGAAACCUUGAGAAUAUGCUUGAUUGACAGAAAGAUUUUAAGAAAUUCCUUGUGCAACUGUGUGCGUGUGUUGGAACGGCUGAGGCUGCUCAGCUAUUGGCUGUUUCUGGUACAUUCAGAGUAAGUCACAGUCUCUGUGGUUACAGAGAAGCAGAGCUUCAGCCAAGACAGAAUCGCUGAGCACGUACCCUGUCCUCUCUCUGCUCGUAACACAACAAGGGAGCUACAACUGAGCCUGAAGAGGUGGAUAGACUGGAAGAGAUUGCAGGUUGUUCUCAUCCUGAGAGUCCAGAGCAUACAGAGCUGAAGUCCCUGUCUGAGCCUGUAACCAUGGAGACAAGUGAAAACUCCAGCACAGCAAACAUAAUUGACUGUGAAAUGGAAGUCCUGGAGACUGAGUUACCUGAGAGCAAGGACACAGGAAACAACGAUGAACAAGUCUGUUAUGAUGCUGACAUUUUAGAGUCCAUUAGUACAAAAGUUGUGUCUGACAUUUUAGCAGGCUUACCUCCUACGGAGACCAAGGCUGAUGAUCUGGAAGAUGUUUGCAGUACGAAAGAGGCGCUUGUCUUGGAGGAUACUCAAGAAGAACUUUAUCGCAAUGAGUCAAUUACCUCUUCAAUAUCUGACACUCCGUCAAGUGCUGAGAGUGUGUAUGAGAAUGAUGUCAUGCAUAAGAGACAAGAUUCUCUAAGACAGGAACCAAUGGAGAACAUAGCAUCCCAACCAGAUGAUGUUGACGAUGGAGAUAUGUUAGACCAAUUGGGUAUUGACUCACAGGAAGCCAUAUUAGAAAGUUUUGGAUGUGAAGAUCCAGAAGAAACCAUCCUUGAGCACUACAUCCGAGAGGAAGUUCUGUCAGACGUCUCCACAGAGUCUUGCCAUGACCCAGAUGAGCUAGAAGAGUGUCUUCGGGUCGAAAUAGCUGCGGUGUCAUCAGACAGCGACACCGAUGAUAAAUGGAGGAACAUCUUCUCUUCCUCCAUAAAUAAGGAAGAUGAUGAUUCCUACAUUGACAGUCUUGAGCUGAGUGCACAAGAACUCUUUAUUCAAAAACCUACAGUUGGGAAUACUGAGGACAUGUCAAAGGAAACUGAAGAGCUGGAGAUUCCGGUGGGAGAAGAAGUGCUAGAACAACCAGAAAAUGAGCCAGUUCAGCAAGCGCAAGAGAUAUCUUACAAUCCUUCCACACUGUUCCACGGCUUGUCCAAGAUUUCCGAAGACGAUGAGGAGCUUGGACGAGGCUCAGCAACCCACAAGAGCAAUUCAUUUGAUUCCGUCAAAUCCGAUUCCAGCAAAAAGGUGCCGAAAGAUUAUUGUGUGAUUCAGGAAAUGAAAAGCGAGAACGUCAGCACAGAGCAUGUGGAUUUCAAAGUUGCUCGCCAGCAGUGGCUAGAGAUCGAAGAGCAAACAAAAAACUUGACACACCAUCCAAGCACACCAACAACUCGAUCUGGAACCUGUCAAGGUAGUCACAGUUCCAUGUAUACACCUGUCCGCAACAUCGAAAGGCCGAAGAGGGAUCUUGAGUGCUUGUCGCUUGUAGAGGAUUACGCACACACCCAGUUCAGCCCUUGCUCUGAGGAUUCAGGUCUGGACGACUCUAGCUACAGAUCACCAUUUGAUGAUCCAGAGACCCCAACUGAGAAGGAGAUUCGCCUAACCUUGGAGCGUGAGGAGAACCUAAGGCGUGAGAGGGGAAUGUCAAAAUCAUACUCCAGUGACUGUGUACAGAUAAGGGCGAGAUCUGCCAACUUGAACCCUGGGAAACUAUGCCAAGAAGUCGAUGAGAAAAGGAAGAUGUUGGAAGACCAGGAUGAUGAUGAUGGAAGUAUAUCCAAAUCUCUCAGCAACAAGACGCCUUCUUUCAUCAUUACCUCCUCACCAACCAAGAGCGCACAAAAACAAGACAUGGCCGCCAAUAAUGUUAUCAUCCUCGAGCCAGAGCCUUUUCCUCCAAGUCCAAGGCAUGGAAAGAUGGUGUCCUCCAAAUCUGCUGACUGGAGACCUGAAGAUACCCCUAAUGUCAUAAUUUUGGAGACAUCGAACCUCAUCAUUCGAAGUGCAUCUGAGUUCAACUUGAAUUCUGACUCUGAAGAAACUCCACAGAAGAUGUUCCUCAACAACCCGUUUUUUAAGCUGCGGUCUAGGAGUACGAUAUCUCUAGUUGAUGAGGAGAUUAUGACGGUGAAGCAGCGAGAAGAGGAACUCAGGCGUCAAAGAGCCAGUGUUUACUCGAAGGAUCACUUCCUGAUGUCUCCAAACUGUUUGGACAGCUCAUCAUUUACAGAUGAUGUGCCACUUAAAUGUAAAUCAUCCCCUUCAUCUCCAAUGAAAACAUGCAGAAUGGAUCGUUCAGCUUUGUCAUGUGAUCAUCGAUUUCCUGAACCCUACAAUGGAGGCCGACGUAAAAGUGCCAUGGCUCUGCGCUGGGAGGCAGGGGAGUUUGCGAACAAUGAGUAGAAAUGGACACUGACGCCAAUUUGCAGCUGGUUUACGUAAGAUAAUUUUCAAUGCUCAAACUCGUCUGUUUAUUGUGAUAGCAUAUACACCUGCUACUGCUGCUUGUGUGACUUUGUUAAUGAUCCAGAAAAAAUCUGCAUAUGCCGAGAUGCCUAAAUGUUAUUUGAAUGUACUGUUUCAU